rnacentral:rRNA from 1 species
GACGAACCGUGCGAACGUUGUUCGGAAUCACUGGGCUUAAAGGGCGCGUAGGCGGGUUGUCAAGUCCGGGGUGAAAGCCCCCAGCUCAACUGGGGAAGUGCCUUGGAUACUGGGAACCUCGAGGGAGGUAGGGGCGUGCGGAACUUCCGGUGGAGCGGUGAAAUGCGUAGAGAUUGGAAAGAACACCGAUGGCGAAGGCACUUUACUGGGCUAUUACUAACACUCAGAGACGAAAGCUAGGGUAGCAAAUGGG